GAUGAACGCUGGCGGCGUGCCUAAUACAUGCAAGUCGAGCGAACGGACGAGAAGCUUGCUUCUCUGAUGUUAGCGGCGGACGGGUGAGUAACACGUGGAUAACCUACCUAUAAGACUGGGAUAACUUCGGGAAACCGGAGCUAAUACCGGAUGAUAUUUUGAACCGCAUGGUUCAAAAGUGAAAGACGGUCUUGCUGUCACUUAUAGAUGGAUCCGCGCUGCAUUAGCUAGUUGGUAAGGUAACGGCUUACCAAGGCAACGAUGCAUAGCCGACCUGAGAGGGUGAUCGGCCACACUGGAACUGAGACACGGUCCAGACUCCUACGGGAGGCAGCAGUAGGGAAUCUUCCGCAAUGGGCGAAGGCCUGACGGAGCAACGCCGCGUGAGUGAUGAAGGUCUUCGGAUCGUAGAGCUCUGUUAUUAGGGAAGAACAUAUGUGUAAGUAACUGUGCACAUCUUGACGGUACCUAAUCAGAAAGCCACGGCUAACUACGUG
rnacentral:rRNA from 1 species